CUAAGGAGCAUUAGUGCCCGUUGCAUCACCGCGUGUGUGAUGGCGGGUUGCUCAUGGGUGGAACAUCAAUGAAUGGUGCCAGUGGUGGUGCCGGCAGUGCUCGAGUACGUCAUGCCUUUGCGGGUGUGGUUGGAAUGGGUGGUGUUGGUGGCUGCGAGCUGGUGUUGGCACACUGUUGGGUCCUGGAACAGCAGGCACCCUGAUCUGUGAGGGUUGGGGUUGUUGUUUCUGGUCUCCGUAUCUUGUGAAGCUGGCCUUGUGGGUUGGUGGAUGGGGUGUGGGUUGUUGUUUGAGAACUGCAUAGUGGACGCGAGCAUCUUAUUUUUUUGUUGCUGCAUCGUUGAUCGCACUGUUCCCCCUGGGGUGGUGUGUGAGGUGUGGUGAUGCCGAGAAUGACAUCUUAGUUAGAUACUGCUCAUUUGAGGACUUUCAUUGUGUG
rnacentral:misc_RNA from 1 species